UUGUGGGUUAUGCAGAAAAUUAAUAAUGGCUAUAGAUGUUACAAUCCAAAGACUGGGCGCGUGUAUAUUUCACGACAUGUUUUUGAUGAGCUUAGGUUGAAGGAUUUAAAGGAGCCACAGACAACACUUAAUGUAAGAGAUGAUGUAUAUGAUUCAUGGCUGAAUGCUGAAAUAUUAGGCCAAGGGGCUGAUACAUUCCAUGCACAAAGUGACAGAAUUAUUGAUGAGAUCGAGACAGCCACAGAUAUUCAGUUGGACAGCACAACUUCAUCUACUCAGACCAACAACAUGUCUUCACCUACUCGGUUCUCAGGAGUAGUGUAUACUCGACGAUCAAUUACAACAAUUGCUCCAGAAACUGUCACUGCUUGUCCACGUAGAUCGGAACGUGUGCCGCACCCUAUUGAUAGAUGGAAACAAAUAUUGGGUGGAGGCCAUGAACGAAGAAAUGGCUGCCUUGAAUGAAUGUCAAACUUGGGAGAUUGUUCCUCGUCCAGAUGGUAAGAAUGUACAAACUCAAGUACAAACCCGAUGGAAACAUUGAUAGAUAUAAGGCUCGUCUUGUGGCUCGAGGCUUCACUUAGCAGUAUGGGGAAGAUUACGAUGAGACUUUCAGUCCAGUCAUCAAGAUGAGAACGAUCCGUGUUAUCAUCUCUCUUGCAGUCUCACAUGGAUGGACUAUAUAUCAGUUGGAUGUUAAAAAUGUUUUCCUUCAUGACUUUCUAAAGGAAGAGGUAUACAUGGAACAACCCCCAGGUUAUGCUACCAAUGAUCCAACUCAGUGGGUGUGCAAAUUACAAAAAUCGUUAUAUGGGCUUAAGCAAGCAUCUCGCUCAUGGUUCGAUAGAUUUUCUUUUCAUAUACAACAGGCUGGUUUUCUCCGAAGUUCACUUGAUCAUUCCUUAUUCAUAUAUCAUGCGGGUGAAAUUACCACUUAGCUACUCAUAUAUGUAGAUGGCAUAGUUCUUACUGGAAAUUCUUCAUAUCAUAUAUCUCAUGUUAAGGAGGUAUUGAAACAAGAAUUCAAGAUGAAGGAUCUCGGCGAACUACGGUAUUUCUUGGGUGUUGAGCCUGACAAAAAAGGUGACACGUUAACUCUUACGUAACAUAAAUAUACUCUUGAUAUUCUGGAUAGAGCAGGUAUGACAAAUUGCAAGCCCAUGAAUACUCCUAGUGUUCUCAACACAAAAUUGAAUGCCUUUGAUGGGAGUGAUGCAUACUCAAAUCCUAGUUUCUAUCGGAGUAUAGUUGGCAUGCUACAAUAUUUCACCUUUACACGUCCAGACAUAGUGUAUGCAGUGAAUCAAGUAUCUUAGUUUAUGCAUGCACCCACAUGCACCCACAGAAGGGCAUAUGGAUGCUACCAAACGCAUUUUGCGUUACCUUAAGGCUACUCUUGGGGAUGGACUCAUUUACACAAGACAGUCAACUAUUUUGAAUGGACAUAACAUUUCCACCUACAUUGAUGCAGAUUGGGCAGGUGAUCCAGACGAUAGAUGAUCAGUUUCAGGUUAUUGUCUCUUCCUUGAUUCCAAUCUUAUUUGUUGGAGUAGCAGGAAACAACGUGCAGUUGCCAGAUCCAGCAUUGAGGCAGAAUAUAGGGCAAUGGCUGCAGGCACAGCUGAAGCCUCAUGGUUACGUCAUCUGCUUGGGGAACUCUCCCUUUACAUUGCGCAGUCAUCUUUAUUCUAUGACAAUCAAAGUGCGAUCAAGAUUGCUUUCAAUCCUGUUCUACAUAAUCGCACUAAGCAUAUAGAGAUUGAUCAACACUUCAUUCGUCAAAAGGUCGAGGAAGCCGAGAUUGUUCCUACUUAUAUAGCCACGUCUCAACAAGUGGCUGAUCUUUUUACCAAGGGGCUCACAGGGCUCCAUUUCUGGGAAUUGAAGAACAAGUUGUACAUGAUCAAACCUCUUGCACAACUUGAGGGGGGCUGUUAAGAUUGUACAAAUUGGAUCGGGUCUACAGACCCGAUCCAUCUUGCCCAUAUACCUAAACAUAAUGGGCGGUGGCAUACUUGUAAAUACUUGUUGUUUUCUGUAUUUACUUGUAGCAUACAUUAGGUUAUAUUAAUGACAAGGAGGAAGGGCCACGGUUGCUGCCCUCUUUUCUUCUCUCUCUUUAUUGCACGUGCAGUCACCUCCUCUUCUUCGUAAUAUCUCAAAAUCUUACAAUAUCAGUUAUCACUGCAGUUUGUUGAUGAAGGGUUGGGAAAUGACAACCCGACUUCAGUCAGUCGGUCAGUCUCUCUCCAGUAUAGCUUCACAUAGGAGGCAGGAGUUUACGGAGGAGCUAGUGAGGAGCUUAGGAUUUCACAGAAUCACCAGGCUGGGGGUUUUUCAUAAAAGGGGUUGAAGGGUUUCCUUUUUUUUGUUUUUUUUGGUUCCCUGCCUCUAUUUUGUCUUUGGAGGACCUUAGCCAGGGUACAAAACCUGAUAGAGCUGGAUAACACCCAGUGGAGCUGGACUGGGGCUAAACUGAGAAUUUUGAAAAAUUCUAAUGGUAAAAUUUUCUUUUGAAAAUCCCAGGGGUUGCCAUGGCCCUUUCCGCCCCCCGGCUCUGCCACUUUUUACUGUUGAUUCUUGUCUGGACUAUUUAGUUACCCUUCUUUUAAAUUCCUUGUGAGUGUCUCGAGUUUUUUUUGCCCCCUUUUAUGUUGCAUGCACUUUAUUUUUAAUAUUUCUAUUCUCUCACUUUAUUUUUAAUAUUUCUAUUCUCUGUUACCACUAAUGUGAUUUA